ACGAACGCUGGCGGCAUGCCUAACACCUGCAAGUCGAACGAUGGUCUUCGGAUCAUAGUGGCGCACGGGUGCGUAACGCGUGGGAAUCUGCCCUUGGGUUCGGAAUAACAGUUGGAAACGACUGCUAAUACCGGAUGAUGUCGAUAAGACCAAAGAUUUAUCGCCCGAGGAUGAGCCCGCGUCGGAUUAGCUAGUUGGUGGGGUAAAGGCCUACCAAGGCGACGAUCCGUAGCUGGUCUGAGAGGAUGAUCAGCCACACUGGGACUGAGACACGGCCCAGACUCCUACGGGAGGCAGCAGUGGGGAAUAUUGGACAAUGGGCGCAAGCCUGAUCCAGCAAUGCCGCGUGAGUGAUGAGGGCCUUAGGGUUGUAAAGCUCUUUUACCCGGGAAGAUAAUGACUGUACCGGGAGAAUAAGCCCCGGCUAACUCCGUG
rnacentral:rRNA from 1 species